rnacentral:rRNA from 1 species
UGGGGAAUAUUGCACAAUGGGCGCAAGCCUGAUGCAGCCAUGCCGCGUGUGUGAAGAAGGCCUUCGGGUUGUAAAGCACUUUCAGCGGGGAGGAAGGCGUUAAGGUUAAUAACCUUGGCGAUUGACGUUACCCGCAGAAGAAGCACCGGCUAACUCCGUGCCAGCAGCCGCGGUAAUACGGAGGGUGCAAGCGUUAAUCGGAAUUACUGGGCGUAAAGCGCACGCGGGCGGUCUGUCAAGUCGGAUGUGAAAUCCCCGGGCUCAACCUGGGAACUGCAUUCGAAACUGGCAGGCUAGAGUCUUGUAGAGGGGGGUAGAAUUCCAGGUGUAGCGGUGAAAUGCGUAGAGAUCUGGAGGAAUACCGGUGGCGAAGGCGGCCCCCUGGACAAAGACUGACGCUCAGGUGCGAAAGCGUGGGGAGCAAACAGG